GUGCCUGUUAUGUAAAUCAUUUUUUAUCCAUCGAUGCAUGUUACAGGUGUAAAGACUCAACUAGAACCCAAGUAGAGGGUAUAGAGGGUGGAGUAGACACACUUGAACCGUGUGGUAAGUCAAGUAAUAUUCAUCUUCUUUAUAAAAGUCUUUGGAUUAUCUGAAUUAAUUUUUGAUAGUUGCAGAAAAAUCUUUUAUUACAGUUUAUCUGCCAAUUUGCACUGCCCAAACUGAGCGCAGACCAUGUACUCCUAAGAAUUUGAAAUAUGUUAACUUUGGUAUCAUUUAUGACUUAUUAAGAUGGUAUUACCGAUUUUUUUU
rnacentral:lncRNA from 1 species